rnacentral:lncRNA from 1 species
AGAGAUUGUAAACUCAAGAAUAUUGAGAACAAGGAAGCAAGAGGAUUAUGAUUCUGAAAUGAUGACGGACUGCAAAGAUUAUGGAAAGAAGAUAUUCGAGAUUGGAAAAUGCUCGACUAUAAGUAGGAGACGAAUUAAAUGAAAUUAGGCUAACAGUCAAAGAAAUAGAAAGACAUGACUCUUGAUAGAGAUUUAAGGUUUAGGGUUCUUGGUGAGUGAGAUACUUGUGUGUGACGCAACUAGAUUUGUAGCAAGAAAUCUUGGAUAAUUAGGAAUUGGUCAGUUGUGAUA